GACUAUUGGGCCUCAAGUUAAGAAGCAGGCAAAGAGUAACAUACUUCAAAUAAACUUCUGCAGUUGGGAUGGGGGCCCAAGCACAAUGCUUACAGUCAGGACCCUAUCUGGAGGUGCAUGCCUUCCUACAAAGAGUGGGGCUUAGAAAAAUCUGGGAAAGAAGGAAAAUCUGUAGGAAACAUAGAAGAUUUGGAACUUGGUCCUGGCCACUUGAAAGCUGUUUUGGUUUGAAGCCAAAGCCCCUAGGGAGUGGGGGGAUAGUGGGGGUAGAGUGAAGGGGGAAGUAAAGAAAAGUGUAGAAGAUAAAAUUGUAGUAUAAAACCCCAACCCAGGGAAUUCAGUUUCGAGAACCAACAAAGAAGAAAAACGAAUUGCAAAGCUUAAGGGAUACAGAUUCAUUUCUUUGUGUUUUCUUGAGAGCUUGGGUAGUAUAUUUCUUUUAUUGUAAAAUGAAACACAAAAGUUUUCCGACAUUCUGAGGCAUGCGUCUAACAUUAGACACAGAUUUGACUUUAGAUAAAUGUCACACUCCAGUAAAGAGACUUUAAGAAUUACUCAGUAAUCAAACCAUGUGAAUUCAAUGGUCUACACGCUUGGAAUCUUAAGAAAUUGCUGAUGAUGACAUUGGCUGCCUCAGUUUUAGGAACUGCCAGAAAUAGCCACUAACCAAGAGAAAGAGAGCAAGGACUAGCCCUGAAUAAUUGGUCAACGAUGCUGAUUUCGUUGGUUUCCUGUUCCUUUUGCUUCCUGGAAAAUACAGACCUACAAAGCAAACAUUGUGUGUGGGUUGAUGCUACAGCAUCGUCUGAACUUGGAAGGAUGAUCAUGGAUUCUGAUGCCUCGUGGUCUCACUACAGAAUUCAACGCUAUCUUUAUUUGAAGUCUGUCCUGGUUAGCAAGCUGGCUGGUGGUGAUGUAUCACAUACCGUGGUUUCUGUGAUGUGGGCUGCUGACUAUGGAAAGAUGAAUGAAGAUCACAAUCACAUUAAGUUUGAGGACUAUGGUCAGACUUAAACCAUUAUCCUUGAGGUGUAUGGCUGUUGAUUUAUCAAUGUUCUCAUUUUUAUGAAGGAAAUCUUCUCAAGGUUGCUGUAUGCUCUGUGUGUGUUGUAUGUCAAAUAAGGUAUAAUGUUAUGUUCUCUCAUAACUUCAUAAAUAAGAAUGUAUUGCUUUGAGAGAUGGAAUAAAA
ensembl:lincRNA